CUACUGCUGAGGAGUCCCAUACUAGGACGAAACGGUCGUUCAGUGC
rnacentral:hammerhead_ribozyme from 1 species